GAUCCCGGCUUAGGACGAAUGCUGGCGGCGUGCUUCAUACAUGCAAGUCGAACGAGAAGUUACCUUCGGGUAAUGGAAAGUGGCGGACGGGUGAGUAAUGUGUAGAGAAUCUGCCCUAGAGUGGGGGACAACAGUUGGAAACGACUGCUAAUACCGCAUAUGCGCGUAGCUGGAAUGCUAUUCGUGAAAACUCCGGUGCUCUGGGAUGAGUCUGCAUCUGAUUAGCUAGUUGGGGGUGUAAUGGACCACCAAGGCGACGAUCAGUAGCUGGUUUGAGAGGAUGAUCAGCCACAAUGGGACUGAGACACGGCCCAUACUCCUACGGGAGGCAGCAGUAGGGAAUUUUGCGCAAUGGGGGAAACCCUGACGCAGCAACGCCGCGUGAUUGAAUAAGCCCUUCGGGGUGUAAAGAUCUGUCAGUGGGGACGAAACUUGGCGGUACCCACAGAGGAAGCAUCGGCUAACUCCGUGCCAGCCGCGGC
rnacentral:rRNA from 1 species